rnacentral:rRNA from 1 species
UACAGAGGUCUCGAGCGUUAGGCGGAAUCACUGGGCUUAAAGCGUGUGUAGGCGGAUCGUUAAGUGCCUUGUGAAAUCCCACGGCUCAACCGUGGAACUGCUUGGCAUACUGGCGGUCUUGAGCAACCUAGGGGCGAGCGGAACAAAUGGUGGAGCGGUGAAAUGCGUAGAUAUCAUUUGGAACGCCAAUGGUGAAAACAGCUCGCUGGGGGUUUGCUGACGCUGAGACGGCGAAAAGCCAGGGGAGCGAACGGG